GAUGAACGCUGACAGAAUGCUUAACACAUGCAAGUCGAUGGGGAAGUGGUGCUUGCACCAUGGCAACCAUGGCGGACGGGUGAGUAACGCGUAAGGGACUUACCUGCAGGACUGGGAUAACAGGGGGAAACUCCUGACAAGACCGGAUAAUGUCAUGGAGCUGCAUGGCUUUAUGAUGAAAGGAGACGCCUGCGGAGAGCCUUGCGUCCUAUUAGCUAGUUGGUGAGGUAAUGGCUCACCAAGGCGAAGAUAGGUAGCCGGCCUGAGAGGGUGGACGGCCACAAGGGGACUGAGAUACGGCCCUUACUCCUACGGGAGGCAGCAGUGGGGAAUAUUGGACAAUGGGGGCAACACUGAUCCAGCAAUUCUGUGUGCACGAAGAAGGUUUUCGGAGUGUAAAGUGCUUUCAGCAGGGAAGAAGUAAGUGACGGUACCUGCAGAAGAAGCGACGGCUAAAUACGUG
rnacentral:rRNA from 1 species